GGCUCGUCUGAAGGUAGUGAGUUAUCUCAAUUAAUUGUUCAGUCGGUUACAGACUGUGUUCUACUCUUUCCCCUCUUCUCACUGCUGCACUUGACUAGUCUUAA
ensembl:Y_RNA Y_RNA Y RNA